AUUGAACGCUGGCGGCAUGCUUUACACAUGCAAGUCGAACGGUAACAGCACUUCGGUGGCUGACGAGUGGCGAACGGGUGAGUAAUACAUCGGAACGUGCCUAGUAGUGGGGGAUAACUACGCGAAAGAGUAGCUAAUACCGCAUGAGAUCUAAGGAUGAAAGCAGGGGACCUUCGGGCCUUGCGCUACUAGAGCGGCUGAUGGCAGAUUAGGUAGUUGGUGGGAUAAAAGCUUACCAAGCCGACGAUCUGUAGCUGGUCUGAGAGGACGACCAGCCACACUGGGACUGAGACACGGCCCAGACUCCUACGGGAGGCAGCAGUGGGGAAUUUUGGACAAUGGGCGCAAGCCUGAUCCAGCAAUGCCGCGUGCAGGAUGAAGGCCUUCGGGUUGUAAACUGCUUUUGUACGGAACGAAAAGCCCUCUUCUAAUACAGGAGGGUCAUGACGGUACCGUAAGAAUAAGCACCGGCUAACUACGUG
rnacentral:rRNA from 1 species